UUCUUUAGGCGUCGACCGGCGAAUGGGUGAGUAACGCGUAUCCAACCUGCCCCUGAGUAAGGGAUAGCCCAUCGAAAGAUGGAUUAAUACCUUAUGGUCUCCUUUAGCAGACAGUCUAAUUAGGAGUAAAGAUUUAUCGCUGAGGGAUGGGGGUGCGUCUGAUUAGCUUGUUGGCGGGGUAACGGCCCACCAAGGCAACGAUCAGUAGGGGUUCUGAGAGGAAGGUCCCCCACAUUGGUACUGAGACACGGACCAAACUCCUACGGGAGGCAGCAGUGAGGAAUAUUGGUCAAUGGACGGAAGUCUGAACCAGCCAAGUAGCGUGCAGGAUGACUGCCCUAUGGGUUGUAAACUGCUUUUAUACGGGGAUAAAGUCAGGGUCGUGACCCUGUUUGCAGGUACCGUAUGAAUAAGGACCGGCUAAUUCCGUGCCAGCAGCCGC
rnacentral:rRNA from 1 species